rnacentral:rRNA from 1 species
GAAUUUUCCGCAAUGGGCGAAAGCCUGACGGAGCAAUCUCGCGUGAGGGAUGAAUGCCUAUGGGUUGUAAACCUCUUUUUUCAGGGAGGAAUCAAUGACGUGUACCUGAAGAAUAAGCAUCGGCUAACUCCGUGCCAGCAGCCGCGGUAAGACGGAGGAUGCAAGUGUUAUCCGGAAUCACUGGGCGUAAAGCGUCUGUAGGUGGUUUAAUAAGUCAAUUGUUAAAUCUUGAAGCUCAACUUCAAAAUCGCAGUCGAAACUAUUAGACUAGAGUAUAGUAGGGGUAAAGGGAAUUUCCAGUGGAGCGGUGAAAUGCGUAGAGAUUGGAAAGAACACCGAUGGCGAAGGCACUUUACUGGGCUAUUACUGACACUCAGAGACGAAAGCUAGGGUAGCAAAUGGGAUUAGAUACCCCAGUAGUC